rnacentral:rRNA from 1 species
CUUUGUUUUCAAAAACAUGUCUUGGUGAUUUUGGUUAUAUCAAGUCUGGCCUGCUCAAUGAUUUUUAAAUAGCCGCAGUAUAUUGACUGUGCAAAGGUAGCAUAAUCAUUUGUCUUUUAAUUGAAGGCUUGUAUGAAUGGUUGGAUGAGGGAAUAACUUUCUUUAUAUUAAAAGUUGAAUUUAAUUUUUUAGUUAAAAAGCUUAAAUUUAUAAGUGGGACGAGAAGACCCUAUAGAAUUUUAUUUUAUUGUAAUAAUUAUUAUUUUGGGUUUUAAUUAUUAAGUGUUACAAUAAAAUUUUGUUGGGGUGAUGGUGAGAUUUUUUAAACUCUCAUAAUUUAUUAUUAUUAUUGAUUAGUAUUUUAAAGAUCCUAUUUUAUGGAUAAUUAGUUUAAAUUACCUUAGGGAUAACAGCGUUAUUUCUUCUGAGAGUUCUUAUCGAUGAAGGAGUUUGCGACCUCGAUGUUGGAUUAAAAUUAGAAUUAGGUGUAGCAGCUUAAUUUCUAGGUCUGUUCGACCUUUAAAUUUUUACAUGAUUAGUUUU